rnacentral:rRNA from 1 species
UAGGGAAUCUUCGGCAAUGGACGAAAGUCUGACCGAGCAACGCCGCGUGAGUGAAGAAGGUUUUCGGAUCGUAAAACUCUGUUGUUAGAGAAGAACAAGGACGUUAGUAACUGAACGUCCCCUGACGGUAUCUAACCAGAAAGCCACGGCUAACUACGUGCCAGCAGCCGCGGUAAUACGUAGGUGGCAAGCGUUGUCCGGAUUUAUUGGGCGUAAAGCGAGCGCAGGCGGUUUCUUAAGUCUGAUGUGAAAGCCCCCGGCUCAACCGGGGAGGGUGAUUGGAAACUGGGAGGCUUGAGUGCAGAAGAGGAGAGUGGAAUUCCAUGUGUAGCGGUGAAAUGCGUAGAUAUAUGGAGGAACACCAAUGGCGAAGGCGGCUCUCUGGUCUGUAACUGACGCUGAGGCUCGAAAGCGUGGGGAGCAAACAGG